UACGGGGGGGGCAAGCGUUGUUCGGAAUUACUGGGCGUAAAGGGCUCGUAGGCGGCCAACUAAGUCAGACGUGAAAUCCCUCGGCUUAACCGGGGAACUGCGUCUGAUACUGGAUGGCUAGAGGUUGGGAGAGGGAUGCGGAAUUCCAGGUGUAGCGGUGGAAUGCGCAGAUAUCAGGAGGAACACCGGUGGCGAAGGCGGGAUCCUGGGCCAGUACUGACGCUGAGGAGCGAAAGCGUGGGGAGCAACAGG
rnacentral:rRNA from 1 species